CCCAUUUGUUGAGGGUACGAUGCCCUCAUAAGAGGACGCAUUCGAACUCCUGCAAAAUUCCUUGUAGUGAGAGGAGGGCAGCCCGAGCCUGUUCUCCCGCCCACAUUGGUGCAACCCGAUGGCCCGGAGGGAGCCACUGGCCCUCUCUUCAUAUCUUUGAACACCAUCAAUUCUUUCUCUCUCUUCUCCCACGCAUCACCAUUCAGUACUCUUGAUCCUUGCACACUUUGCAAACACAGCGCAAUAACUAACACAACCAAACCCAGGACUCUCAUCAUCUUUUUCGAAAACCCCAUCUCUCUAUAAUGCAAACUUUUGUGUUUCUCUCUCUGCUUUUGGCUAGCUUUUGUUUGGGUGAGUGUGGAGACAGAUUUGAGGAGAGAGAAUGGGCUGAAAUUUUUUGUUUCUCUUUUGCUUGAGUGGAGAUGGAUUUGAGGAGGGAGAGAGAGAGAGAAAGGAUGAAGGUGAAGGAG
rnacentral:lncRNA from 1 species